rnacentral:rRNA from 1 species
CGAUGGGCCGACGUCGCAUGCUCCCGGCCGCCAUGGUUGGCUCAGAGCGAACGCUGGCGGCAGGCCUAACACAUGCAAGUCGAACGAACUCUUCGGAGUUAGUGGCGGACGGGUGAGUAACACGUGGGAAUGUGCCUUUUGGUUCGGAAUAACUCAGGGAAACUUGUGCUAAUACCGAAUGUGCCCUUCGGGGGAAAGAUUUAUCGCCAUUAGAGCGGCCCGCGUCUGAUUAGCUAGUUGGUGAGGUAAAAGCUCACCAAGGCGACGAUCAGUAGCUGGUCUGAGAGGAUGACCAGCCACACUGGGACUGAGACACGGCCCAGACUCCUACGGGAGGCAGCAGUGGGGAAUCUUGCGCAAUGGGCGAAGCCUGACGCAGCCAUGCCGCGUGAAUGAUGAAGGUCUUAGGAUUGUAAAAUUCUUUCACCGGGGACGAUAAUGACGGUACCCGGAGAAGAAGCCCCGGCUAACUUCGUGCCAGCAGCCGCGGUAUUCGAAGGGGGCUAGCGUUGCUCGGAAUUACUGGGCGUAAAGGGCGCGUAGGCGGAUCGUUAAGUCAGAGGUGGAAUGCCAGGGCUCAACCCUGGAACUGCCUUGGAUACCUGGCGAUCUUGAGUAUGAGAGAGGUUAUGUGGAAACUCCGGAGAGGGAGGAGGUGAAAAUUUCUUAGAUUAUUUCUGGAAGGAAACACCAAUGGGCGGAAUGUGGACCAUUCUUGGGCUCAUUUACUGGAUCGCCUGGAGGGUGGCGUAAAAGCGGUUGGGUGGAGCACAAAUCAUGGGAUUUAGAUUA